UUGUCUCAUAAAAAGAUUUAUUUUUUUCCAGCCCAAAUUUACAAAGGCAAGUUACAGAGUAUUGUAUAAAAAAGAACCAUGGCAAUGUACACUUUACACAAACUCCUGAAGGGCGGGAGAGAGGAAGAGGAGGAGGAGGAGAGGGUGAAGAGUUCUGAAUCUUCUCACACAGAAAGAAAAUGAAGACAUUGUAAACAUCCUUGCAAGCACCGGGACUGGUGCUCUUUUUUUGGGAGGGUAGGGGGGUGCAGGGUAGGAUGGGGUGGGGUGAGGUGUGUGAGGGGGGGCGUUUGUGUGACAGUAGGUGGGUCAGGAAAAGACAAACGAGCAAGUGUCUCUGUGUUUUCACAGAAGAAUGUUCAACUAGGCACCAAUUGAGACAACUGCUGGCCAAUAAAUAUACUCUUCACCAUGAAACAAAUACAGUCCUGCAAAAUACAAGAGCCAAGCACUUUCCAAUAUGUUGAUAGCAAACAUUACUUUUUCUGGCUUUUCAUACACUUUAGUAUAUAGGAUUUUCACUGGGCUUUGCUUACUACUGAGAUAACAUUACUACUCUCAGAGAAAGAGAGAGAGAGAGAGAGAAAGAGAGAGAGAGAGAGAGAGAGAGAGAACAAAUGCACUUGUCACAACCAUUGUCUGAUAAAAACUAUAUGUACUGUAUGCAGUCUGCUGGUACUAAAAACCCACUGACUUUAAUGACAACAUCACAGCUGCCUAGAUUACCCUUACAGAUUAAGUACAAGUCAAACACCACCACAUUCAGCUUAUUCAUUUUAGCCAUUCUUCUUCAAAAUGCGCAAAAAAUCAAACAUAAACCAUCCUGUGGACUUCUGUGAGAGAAACUGGCAACCUAUCUACUGGGAAUGUCCAAAACCUCCAAAUGAAGAGUUUAGUGUGUGAAACAGCUGUAACCGAACUGUCCAGGAUGUUAAAAAUGACCGAUAAAUCAUGGAAUUGAACAUUUAUAGAGUUAAACGAUAAAAAACUACAACAAUGGGAACAUUAAAAGUGAUUGAAGAACCAUUCAAAUCAAAUUUAAAGACAGCAUGGUCAAUAACUCUACUCUUAUAAUGCUUCAGGAAAAGGUAAAGACAGUUCUGUGGCAUCAAGCCUUUAGUGUCUCCCUGUCAUGACCGAGCCAAUUUGUCGUUUAUCGUUGAGCCACGUCAGCACAUCUAGCUUGUAGCAGAAAAGUACUUUUUUCAUAUUUAUAAAGAGAAGCCUUUGAAGGUCGAUGCGAACAGCGUAUGGAGAGAAUUUCACUUACAGGCCCUGAGGUAUAAAAGAAGUGUAAUUUAUAGCAGAGAGGGUCUUCUUGUACUGAUAGCCACUUUCAAUGUCAAUUCAUAGACUUAAUUUACAGUGUUGCCACUAGUUUGAGUUAAAAAAUUAAAAAGCAUCAUGCUUCUCUUUUGCUGAUGUGACAUCUUUCCUGUCUCAGUCUUGAGGUCCUGAUUGGAUAGUUUGACUAUACUGGCUCACUCUUCCUUAUAGCUUGAAAUCAUUGUCUGCAUCUGACUGGUUUGUGUUUGUAACAGAUGAGAGAUGUUUGGGGUCAUUUCAUGCACUUCAAAGUUUAAUGUGCCAGUAGUUGAUCUUGCAGCACAGACUGACCGAAGCUGACGGUUCAAAAAGGCCGAUACAAAGCUGGCUGGCAGACGAUAGAAAUGAGCAUGUGCCAAAAGCUGGUUGAAGUGAGUUAUGGUGAAGCCACACAAGCAAGCGAAGCACCAAGAGAAGAUCUCACUAGCCCCACCUCCACCCCCAGAGAAAGUCAGACUGACUCACCGUUAUGUUUUCAUAAAAUCUUGGGGAAAAAAAUGUCUGAGAUGCUGAUGGCCAUUCAGAGGUCUGAUUGCACACUGCAUGCUGGGAAGAAUGGCUUGUGAUGGUAACGAAGUCGAGGGUCAAGCGAAUCAAAUGAAGUUUAAAAUCUGCAGCAAAUAAGCAGCACAGUGAGACGUUGAUCUACCAUGCAGCAUUCAUGACCUGAGCACCUCUAGUGUUAAUGCUGUGAAAGCCCAGAAAGGUCCAAAACUGGCAGUUUGUCAACAGUUGUGAGCUGGGGUAAAUAUAAACAUUUAUGCGCAGGCAAAGGUUCUAUUUUACAGCUGGAGAAAAAUGCAUGACCCAAGUGGAAGUUCACAUUUUUACAGUUAAAAAAGUUUGACUCAGUGGGGAAAAAAAAGCACAAGCUUACAGUAAAACCCCCAAAUCCCUCAUGAGGUGCCUGAUGUAGUGAUGACAAUGCCCCGUGAAUCACCGUUUGCUAAUGUGGCUUCACCGUUUGAGUGAGCGGAGAGACAGACAUGACCUUUUCAUGGUGAGGACACACAGGACUUAACACCAGCAUCAGACACAUUCAAGGAUGAGCACAAUGAUAUGAAGUGUUACUGAGAAAAAGAAAACAUGAUUAGUGUUUAUUCUCCGUUGAGGUGUGCGCGGUCCCUUCGCAAUAAAACAUGACGACAUCAUCCCUGAAACGAGAAGUGAGGGUUCGAAGAGGAUGGGAAUCAGCAAUGAUGGAGAAUGAAAACAAAAAACUUCAGUCUCAGGCUCUGUAAGUCUCUGAAGAAAGCAGCUGUUGCCAUAUUCCCUCUCCCUCCGAAAUAUAGCCAAACGUUUGUCAAGUUUAGGAUAUAUUGUUGUUUCACGGCAUACGAUAAGCCAAAGAUGUAAAAGUCGAAAUCAUUUCAAUAUGAUUCACUUUUUCUUCUCAGUCUUUUAAUUUAGUUUGACUCCCCUUUCCCAUCAGCCGCCCGACUCCCCAGCGUCCCCAGCCAAUUUCUUUCUGCGUGUGACAAAAAUCAAUGCAGUCAAAAAAAAAAAAAAAGUGAAAAAAAGGAAAAAAAAAAAGAGAAAAGAAGCUGUUCUGGCAGUCCAAUAGUCUCUUUUUGCAUUGUAUUUGUUGACAGUGCAAAGACUAGAUAACCAGCGGGUUGGUGUUUCCUCUGCAUGAUGAGGCAGAGUGAUGGCUUUGAACCUGAACCAGUCCUGUUACAGUCCGAGGUUUGGGAAGAUUUGGGGUCACUUACGAGGGGAGGAGGGGGAAAAAAACGACAAUCUG